GCAUUUCAAUGAAAAAAACUGAUUGUAGUCCCACCCCCUGUUCUAACGAGGCUACUACUAAAUGAAACAUGUCUAAUUCCAUCCCAUAAUAAUCAAACCUCCAGAAGUAAACAUCCAGUCCAUCCAACAAAGGGUUGGUUCUGUUGGAGUUCUUCUGUAUUUU